CUCUGAAGAGUUAUUAUUGUCUGUGGACAUGGCAGCUCGGAGAGUCUCCUCCUUACUCUCUCGCUCUCUCUGCUAGGUCUGCUUCUAAGCUUCUCUCUCAAGGGAGAAGUGUCAGUAGAUUUAGCAAUGCUGCAGUAAGUGAAGAGUUGAUCACCCCACCUGUUCAUAUGAAUUGGUUACUUGGUAUGUAUUAAAUAUACUUCUGGAAUAGUACACAUGAUUUGUGAAUAAAUAAAGUAAAUAAAAGCUAGCCUAGUGUUUAUGUCUUAUCUCAGCAAUGAAAGUUUCCCCUGAAACAAUAGUCUAAUGUUUAGUUUAUUUUAUUUAUGCAUGAUCUGAUCAUCUUACAAUGGUUGAAUAU
rnacentral:lncRNA from 1 species